rnacentral:rRNA from 1 species
AGUGAACGCUGGCGGUAGGCCUAACACAUGCAAGUCGAACGGCAGCACAGUAAGAGCUUGCUCUUACGGGUGGCGAGUGGCGGACGGGUGAGGAAUACAUCGGAAUCUACUUUUUCGUGGGGGAUAACGUAGGGAAACUUACGCUAAUACCGCAUACGACCUACGGGUGAAAGCAGGGGAUCUUCGGACCUUGCGCGAUUGAAUGAGCCGAUGUCGGAUUAGCUAGUUGGCGGGGUAAAGGCCCACCAAGGCGACGAUCCGUAGCUGGUCUGAGAGGAUGAUCAGCCACCCUGGAACUGAGACACGGUCCAGACUCCUACGGGAGGCAGCAGUGGGGAAUAUUGGACAAUGGGCGCAAGCCUGAUCCAGCCAUACCGCGUGGGUGAAGAAGGCCUUCGGGUUGUAAAGCCCUUUUGUUGGGAAAGAAAAGCAGCAGGUUAAUACCCCGCUGUUCUGACGGUACCCAAAGAAUAAGCACCGGCUAAGUUCGUG